CAAGCAUAAUGAUGAUGCUAAAUUUAUUCCGACUAUUCAUGAAAGGAAUACCAACCUCCUACUCAUUCUGA
rnacentral:snoRNA from 2 species